rnacentral:rRNA from 1 species
UCCUACGGGGCGCAGCAGUGAGGAAUAUUGGUCAAUGGCCGGAAGGCUGAACCAGCCAAGCCGCGUGAAGGACGAAGGUGCCAAGCAUUGUAAACUUCUUUUGUCAAGGGGCAAAAUCAGGCUCGAGAGCCUGACCGAGGGUACUUGAAGAAAAAGCAUCGGCUAACUCCGUGCCAGCAGCCGCGGUAAUACGGAGGAUGCGAGCGUUAUCCGGAUUUAUUGGGUUUAAAGGGUGCGUAGGCGGACUGUUAAGUCAGCGGUAAAAGCCCGGGGCUCAACCCCGACGAGCCGUUGAAACUGGCUGU